AUUGAACGCUGGCGGCAGGCCUAACACAUGCAAGUCGAGCGGGGUUUUCGGACCUAGCGGCGGACGGGUGAGUAAUGCGUAGGAAGCUGCCCGAUAGAGGGGGAUACCAGUUGGAAACGACUGUUAAUACCGCAUAAUGUCUACGGACCAAAGUGUGGGACCUUCGGGCCACAUGCUAUCGGAUGCGCCUACGUGGGAUUAGCUAGUUGGUGAGGUAAUGGCUCACCAAGGCGACGAUCUCUAGCUGGUUUGAGAGGAUGAUCAGCCACACUGGAACGGAGACACGGUCCAGACUCCUACGGGAGGCAGCAGUGGGGAAUAUUGGACAAUGGGCGCAAGCCUGAUUCAGCCAUGCCGCGUGUGUGAAGAGGGCCUUCGGGUUGUAAAGCACUUUCAGCGAGGAGGAAGGGUGGUGUGUUAAUAGCACAUCAUUUUGACGUUACUCGCAGAAGAAGCACCGGCUAACUCUGUGCCAGCCGCCGCCGUAACAC
rnacentral:rRNA from 1 species